AAAAUUAGAAAAAAAAAAAACGUUACAGGCCGCAAUCCUCGCACAGGCAGAGCAGUUGCUUCUGCUAACAGCAACGCCCGGAUUGAGGGCUGGGGCUGGCAGCAGCCGGUGCAACGGCGUUGUAGGGAACAGGCAAACGCCGCCCUGCGGCUGCAGCACCCCGAAAGGCGCCUUUUUUUUUUUUUUUUUUUUGAAAGAUUAUUUUCUUCCCUUGUGGCACCUCACUCAGCAAAACAACUUCGCGUGAACUCCCAGAGGAAGCCUCGCCCGGCCUCUCCUGCUUCCUUUAAUGGACAAGGACAAUGGCAAAGUCUCGCCACAGCACCGCGUUUUUGGGAAACUCGUAUUUUCUCCAUCUCCCCGGCUCCCUCUGCUGUGGCUAUUGCACAUGUCUACUCCGGCUUCACUACAUCAGCCUCUGGCACAAGUCUGUGGGAUAACGGAAGCCACUCUUGCACCGGGAGUAUCUACAGCCAUUUUAUUUCAGCUAAACAUUCUAAAUGCUGGACAAGAUCGUUCCUGCUUCUGUUUCCAGAUGACCAAACAUGGUCCCUUUGGGUGGGCUAACAGCAGGGCUGCAACCCCACAGCAUCCUUGUUAUCAUCUAGGACUUCCUGCAGUCUGACUGAAAGAACAGGCAGCCAGCUCUGUCGGAGUGGGUGGAAUUCAAUUGCGUGCACACAGAAUUAAUCUUAAACACAAGAAAGAACUUGCCCUCAUGCCACAAUUAUCUUCUGGAGUGAACAUUAGAUGUCUACAAUCUUCCUGGCAGGGAGUCACACAAGGAGCUGAAGAUCUAGAGCCAGCAGUUAACUAACAAGAAACUUACUGGGUAG